rnacentral:rRNA from 3 species
UACAGAGGGGGCAAGCGUUAUUCGGAAUUAUUGGGCGUAAAGGGCGCGUAGGCGGUUUUUUAAGUCGGAUGUGCAAUCCCUGGGCUCAACCCAGGAACUGCAUCCGAGACUGGAAGGCUAGAGUACUGGAGAGGGUGGUGGAAUUCCUCGUGUAGCGGUGAAAUGCGUAGAGAUGAGGAGGAACACCAGUGGCGAAGGCGGCCACCUGGACAGUAACUGACGCUGAGGCGCGAAAGCGUGGGUAGCAAACAGG